UACGGGGGGGGCAAGCGUUGUCCGGAAUCAUUGGGCGUAAAGCGCGCGUAGGUGGCCCAGUAAGUCCGCUCUGAAAGUCAAAGGCUCAACCUUUGAAGCGGGUGGAUACUGCUGGGCUAGAGUCCGGAAGAGGCGAGUGGAAUUCCUGGUGUAGCGGUGGAAUGCGCAGAUAUCAGGAGGAACACCAACGGCGAAGGCAGCUCGCUGGACGGUACUGACACUAAGGCGCGAAAGCGUGGGAGC
rnacentral:rRNA from 1 species